GUAUCCUAAGUCCAUCCAUCUGAUUCAAUAGUUUCUAUAUAGUCAGGCACCAUGCAAAAGUGAAGUCUUCAUUUUAAAAUGACAAUGAUAGUAUGCUAAGUUUUCCAUAGUGUACCAUUAUUAAAAGUGAAUACAAAA
rnacentral:snoRNA from 1 species